GACGAACGCUGGCGGCGUGCUUAACACAUGCAAGUCGAACGAAGGGGCGAACGGGUGAGUAACGCGUAAUCAACCUGCCCUUCAGCGGGGGACAACAGGUGGAAACGACUGCUAAUACCGCAUACUGAAGGAGGGGAUUGCGUCUGAUUAGCUAGUUGGAGGGGUAACGGCCCACCAAGGCGAUGAUCAGUAGCCGGUCUGAGAUGAUGAACGGCCACAUUGGGACUGAGACACGGCCCAGACUCCUACUGGAGGCAGCAGUGGGGAACCUUCCGCAAUGGACGAAAGUCUGACGGAGCAACGCCGCGUGAGUGAUGACGGCCUUCGGGUUGUAAAGCUCUGUUAAUCGGGACGCGGUACCGGAAUAGAAAGCCACGGCUAACUACGUGCCAGCAGCCGCGGUAAUUC
rnacentral:rRNA from 1 species